GAAAAAUAGCCAUGCGAGGUUCGCAAUUGUUGUUUCUUAAGAUCUAGACACCGCAGGCUUAUUUUCCCUCAAAUCCCUACCUCCAUGUUCCGCACUUCCCAAACAGAGCCUUAAAGAUGGACAUGAAUUAGGUUAAUCAAAGAAGUUUGGUGCCCUGGUUUCUUUUAUCAUGGACAAUCCGGGGGCUCCCAAAAGUUGAGUUGCUGACAAUGGCUUCCAAAUUUAGAUUCUUCCCUACACAUCUGGGCAUAUUCAGAGUUCAGUUCUCAAACUUUAAUCAAGGAUAGGUAACAUGUGCCACUAUAGGACUUCUCACUUGAUGCAACCCAUCAUCCCAAACCAAAGAACCAGAGAUCAUAGUUUUGAUCAUUGUAGCUUCUACUGUCACAACAAAAGAUUGUUUCUGCCCAAGGGACUGGAAGGAAAGAACACUUGGUUGAACCUGAAUUUUAAGUCCUGCUGGUGCAUUUAUAAUUGCCUUGUAAGUAGAUAUUUGUGACCCAACAUUUGUGACAGUUCUUUGGAAAGUGCGAGUUAUAGAUUCCCCAUACUUGGUAGAUAGAGUAUAAGAAGGGUAAUUCAGAUCCCAAACAGUUCCAUUGGUUUCUGCAGAGCAUGCGCUUUGAUCUCCAGUGACAAGUUGAAGUUGUCUAGUGCCAUACCCUUGUCCACAUAGAAAUUUAACAUAAUCUAUCUCUCCAGCAUCAUAUACUAAACCUGGAUCUGUGGCCUUAAUAGGAUUUAUGUGACCUGAUCCAUAAGCAAACUCU
rnacentral:misc_RNA from 1 species